GAGGCUCUGGGCUGGAGACCCCAGAUAUGGCUCAUGGCAGGCAGGGCAGCCUCUCAGAUGGCGGCCCAAGGACCAGUUUGCCCACUCCAUGCUGCCACUCCCAGUCCUCUCCCCACCUCUCCCCACCUGGCCACCCGAGUGCUGCAGCCAGAACUACACCCUAUAGGCAGGGACUGAAAGUCACGGAGCCUGUCUGUGCACCAGUCCUGGCCUUUGGGCGGUAUGCCCAGAAACCGGGACAAUCAGACAGAGGACAGCCUCUGACGAGGGCUGUGGGGUGAGAGAUCCAAACCAGCAAGCAGAAAAAGGCGAUCCAGAGGUUGCAGAGGCCAUCCGAUGUCAGGAGAAGAAAACUUCCAGAGCUAUCUGUCAUCCGAGAGCACACAGGAGCCCAGAGAGCCUGGGGAGCCAGAGACCAAGCCCUAAGGAUGGGACCCCUGUCUCCAGACACAGCAGGUACCCAGAGACUUUUCCACGGGGCUGGCCAAGGACCAGGGACUGGAGCCACAGAGUUCAUGCUAUGAUAGUAAUAAAGAUGGGUCCGCUGCAGAUGGCAACCAGUCCUGGGAUAUUCCAGAAGAGCAAGUCACUGGAGCUAGGACAGCCACCAACCCCAGGGCCUAUUUAGGACACCAGAGACCACCGGGAAAGGCCAGGUCAAAAAGCCAGUCAGCAACUCACGGAUAUGAUUGUGACAGAAUGUUACAGUGGGAAAAAUAAAGGACAUAAAAUGACU